ACUCUGAGACAGACAAUAUUCUGUUACAUUGUAGCAAAAUGGCGACUGUCAUUCACAACCCCCUGAAAGCGCUUGGGGACCAAUUCUACAAGGAAGCCAUCGAGCACUGCCGGAGUUACAACUCGAGGCUGUGUGCAGAGCGCAGCGUGCGUCUCCCUUUCCUGGACUCACAGACGGGGGUGGCCCAGAACAACUGCUACAUCUGGAUGGAGAAGAGGCACCGAGGCCCAGGCCUUGCUCCGGGCCAGCUGUACACAUACCCUGCCCGCUGCUGGCGCAAGAAGAGACGAUUGCAUCCACCUGAGGACCCAAAGCUGCGGCUGCUGGAAAUAAAACCUGAAGUGGAGCUGCCCCUGAAGAAAGAUGGGUUCACCUCAGAAAGCACCACACUGGAAGCCUUGCUCCGCGGUGAGGGGGUGGAGAAGAAGGUGGACUCCCGGGAGGAGGAGAGCAUCCAGGAAAUACAGAGGGUUUUGGAAAAUGAUGAGAAUGUAGAAGAAGGGAAUGAAGAAGAGGAUUUAGAAGAGGAUAUUCCCAAGCGAAAGAACAGGACCAGAGGACGGGCUCGCGGCUCUGCGGGUGGCAGGAGGAGGCACGACGCUGCCUCUCAGGAAGACCACGACAAGCCUUACGUCUGCGACAUCUGCGGCAAGCGCUACAAGAACCGACCGGGACUGAGCUACCACUACGCUCACACCCAUCUGGCCAGUGAGGAGGGGGACGAAGCCCAAGAUCAGGAGACCCGGUCCCCACCCAACCACAGAAAUGAGAACCACAGACCCCAGAAAGGACCAGAUGGAACAGUAAUUCCCAAUAACUACUGUGACUUCUGCUUGGGGGGUUCUAACAUGAACAAGAAGAGCGGGCGACCUGAAGAGCUGGUGUCCUGUGCAGACUGUGGACGCUCUGCUCAUUUGGGAGGAGAAGGCAGGAAGGAGAAGGAGGCAGCGGCCGCAGCACGCACCACGGAGGACUUAUUCGGUUCCACGUCAGAAAGUGACACCUCAACUUUCCACGGCUUUGAUGAGGACGAUUUGGAAGAGCCUCGCUCCUGUCGAGGACGCCGCAGUGGCCGGGGCUCGCCCACAGCAGAUAAAAAGGGCAGUUGCUAAGCCUGCGGAGCGGACUGGGCGCUCAGCCACCCCCUCUGACUCUGGUCGUUGUUCCGGUUCUGAUAUAUAUAUUUUUAAACGAAAGACGACUUAGUUUUCCCCCUGAUCCUUGCUUUUUCCUCCCAUCUUCCAUGAGUCCUUUCCCCUCGCCAUCCCUCUGUUUUGGGUUUGUACAACAAAAGCACAAACUACUGAAAACAAAACAAAACCAAGACAAAAGAGCAGAAUGAGAGUUCUUCAGAGAGAUGGCAUCGCGCUGUAUUAUUUAUGUACCCUAGAAAUAGGAAGUUAGGUGGUUCUCUCUUUUGGCAGGGAGGGCAUCUUUUUGACAUGAGCAGAGUUGAUUUCCUCGGUUUUCAUAUGUAUUGGCAAAAUGAAGAGAAAGAGGAACGCUGGGUUUGGAAACAAAGAGUCAAUAACAUUAAAAUUAUUAUUUAUAUAUGCUAGCUAUUAUUAGAGUCGGACUUUUUUUUUGAGAAAGUGAGAGAAGGGAAAUCAAAGGCAUCUCAGUAAUAUCCUGUUUAGAAGCGAGCCACUGGGGGGAGAGUUUCCUCAAUGGGAGAGGAUUGCACCUCUCUGCGCCCCACGGAGUCCGUGGCUCCCCACCGCAGACCCCCUCCCCAUGUCUCCUCCCCGACCUUUCCAUCCUCCUCUCUGCUUUCGGGAAAAUGGCAGCAGUCCCAGAGAAGGCCUGCCAGGCACCUGGCCUCCGUCCAGCACCGGCCCUGACCAGCAGCCACCUCCUCGGCUCCUCCUCCGUUCAGCAGAGCUGCCGUUUCCUUGCUGCUGGUUUUUCCUCACUUUCCUCCUGGCGAAGAGCAACUUCCAAAUGCAGGAAUGGAAUAUAAGCAAAAGUCAUGGGCUCAGCAGUGACAAAGCGACCCGAGGCCACCAGGCUGGUUGAAGAACGAUACCUCACAGUAUAUCUCCCCUCCCCUUGCCCCUGUUUAAAAGUUACUGCCCACUGGAUGAUCAAGCCUCCCGUAUUACUUCUUCUUUUUUUUUUUUUUUUUAUAGUGCCUGCCGGGCACUUUGUUUUAUGUUUCCAAUAGCACCUCCUGAAACAAACCAAAGCAACACUUGCUCAAGGCUGGAUGGAGAAGACCUGUUCACCUCACUGGCAGUCCCAACAGUGACCAGCUGCAAGGCCCUACUCAAAAGUCAACACUCUGGCCUGGGAACUCCAGCAUCCUUCAAGCAAGCCAUUUCUGAAGAAGGUGAAAAGAAGCCACCACCUCCUCCUCCUCCUCCUCUUCCUCUUUCCUUGCCCGGCCCCCUCCUGUGCGCGUGUUUCAGCCGACACCAGAGCCUGGAUUGUGGAAUAUCCGUCAGCACAACUCAGCUCAGCGAAGUCUCAGCAAUGGCCUAAGUUUGUGCAAUAAGAAGAUUUUUUUUUUUUCCUUUUUAAAACUCAUCAUUACUUUUUCUUUGAGUGUCUGUGAGAAAGCACCCAGGUCAGACUGGAAUUGCUCUACAAUAGAAAUAACUGAACACAAACAAACUGAAAAAAAAAAAAAAAAAAGAGCUAACUAUUUUAUUUAUUUCAAUAUUUAAAAGAAAAAAGUGCUGA